rnacentral:rRNA from 1 species
UACAGAGGGUGCGAGCGUUAAUCGGAAUUACUGGGCGUAAAGCGUGCGUAGACGGUUAUUUAAGUCGGGUGUGAAAGCCCCGGGCUCAACCUGGGAAUUGCAUUCGAGACUGAAUAGCUAGGGUACGGUAGAGGGAAGCGGAAUUUCCGGUGUAGCGGUGAAAUGCGUAGAUAUCGGAAGGAACAUCAGUGGCGAAAGCGGCUUCCUGGACCAGUACCGACGUUCAUGCACGAAAGCGUGGGGAGCAAACAGG